GAUGAACGCUGGCGGCGUGCCUAAUACAUGCAAGUCGAGCGAACGGACGAGAAGCUUGCUUCUCUGAUGUUAGCGGCGGACGGGCGAGUAACACGUGGAUAACCUACCUAUAAGACUGGGAUAACUUCGGGAAGCCGGAGCUAAUACCGGAUAAUAUUUUGAACCGCAUGGUUCAAAAGUGAAAGACGGUCUUGCUGUCACUUAUAGAUGGAUCCGCGCUGCAUUAGCUAGUUGGUAAGGUAACGGCUUACCAAGGCAACGAUGCAUAGCCGACCUGAGAGGGUGAUCGGCCACACUGGAACUGAGACACGGUCCAGACUCCUACGGGAGGCAGCAGUAGGGAAUCUUCCGCAAUGGGCGAAAGCCUGACGGAGCAACGCCGCGUGAGUGAUGAAGGUCUUCGGAUCGUAAAACUCUGUUAUUAGGGAAGAACAUAUGUGUAAGUAACUGUGCACAUCUUGACGGUACCUAAUCAGAAAGCCACGGCUAACUACGUG
rnacentral:rRNA from 1 species